CAGAGGGCUUCCUCUUGAGGGCACAUGAAAAUAAUAAGAAAAGUUUGCCUCUACAUCAUGUUAGGACUGUUUCAAGUCUUCGAAUGAUGGGUUACUUGUACAACUGUCUGGAACAGUUUGAAAAAUCAGAAAGUUGUCUCACUGAAGCCUUAGCUAUACUUCAAUCAGGAUAUUUGACUCAAACUGUUGAAGCAGGAUAUGUUUACUACAACAUUGGUUUAAGACUGAGUCAUGAAAGGAAAUAUGAAGAGGCUAAAAGGUCAUUGUUUGCAGCACUGGAAAUUCUAGAGUCAGCUCUAGGACAGCAUCAUCUCUACGUUGC